AUAUCAUUAAGGCUAAAUUCUUGCAUUUAACAAUCUGGCCUUAGGAAAUAUGUCCUCUGCAAAAAUAUACUUCUGCAAAACACAUUGAGCAAUGAAGGUUUUCACCUUAAAUGAAAGUCCCAUGACUAGCAAAUAAAGUACUAAACAAUAGUUCAGAAAACAUAAAAUAUAAACAGGAAGACGAUAUAAAAAUGUCUCACAAAAUAUUUACAUAUAACCACCCAAUUUUAAAUGUUUUAUAUAACCCGCAGCAAAUGCCAACAGGAGUUCACAUCUGGAUCACUCUACUGGACCCUGCAAGGCAGUCCCAGGACAGUGCUUGAGACCUCUCCGAAUGACACAAUAGCAGCCACAUAAUAAAAACAAUACUAAGUAAAUAUCCCUAUAAGGGGAUUAUAUAAUCUCCUUAUCAAGCUAUCCAAAUACUUCAACCCACAAAAAUGAGGCCUGUAAUUUUUUAAGAGUCCAAAGAAUGUCCUUCUUUCAAUGCGGAUUUUGGAUUUUCUUCAAUAUUAUAAGAAAGAUUCUGAAACUCUUGGGGCUACCACCUCAGAAGGAAGAGAAGGAAAGAAAAGAAGAACCAAGUUUUGGAAAGUAGGGGAGUUGAUGACGAAUUCAGCCAAGGCCAUGUUGAAUAUGAGGUACCUAUGGGAAAUAACACAUUCAAGUGACCCGAUCUCUGAAGCAAAAUGGGUAUGUCAGGACUAGAGAUGAAGACUUGCAAGUCAUUAGUGUGUGCGUCUGUGUGCGUGUGUGUGUGUGUGCGUGUAUCUGUUAAAACUCUGAGUGAAAUAGCAGUGGCUCACAGUGGAAUCCAGGGAAAUACCAACAUUUAAGAGGUGGUCAGAAAAGAGCCUGAAAAGGAACGUCAGAGAAAUAACAGCAAUGAGGUCAUGGAAGCCCAAGGCAAGGUGAAUUUUAAGGACAGUGUGGUUGAGAGAGUCAAAUUCAACACAGACAGGGAUGUGGCAAGUGCAACGCAGACAUCAGAGUGUCUUCAGCUAUGCCAGCUGCAGUGCAAUUCUGGGAGAAGUCAAAGUUAAUUGGGUUGAAAGGUGAAUGGGAAGUAAAAAAUGGAGACGAUGAUUGAAAGAGCUCUAACCAUAGGAAGAUGAAAGACAGUUAAAAUCAGAAUAGACACAGGACCAAAGGAGGUGAUGGUGUUGUUGCUGCUAGUUUGUUGUUGUUGUUUUGGGGUUUCUUUUUUUUUUUUUUAGUAUAGAAAAGAAUUGAGCAUUUUUAUGAUUUGAGGAGAAAUAACAGUACAAAGUAAGAGACUGGUGAUAGAAGAAAAAUGAUAGAAGGAUAAAGAAGAUAGAAAUGAAAGAUAAAGAGUACAGAAAGGGACUAUACUUGAACAGAAAUGGAGCUGCCUCAUCUUGUGAACCUGGGGAUGUUGGGAGAGUAAGGGCAGAUAUAUGUCCUUUGUGGGGAAAAGGAUAGAAAGUUUUUAGAGAGGUUAUAUUUGACCUUUCCAUUUUACUUCAUCAGAGCAGAGACUAAAUGAUCUGUAGGAGAGUAAGGGUGAGAAGUUGGAAAGAAGGCUUAAUGAGAGCACUGGGACAAUCAGUCAUUGAAAAGUGGGGGGCACCUGGAUUGCUCAGUCAGUUAAGCAUCCGACUCUUGGUUAGGGCUCAGGUCAUGAUCUCAAGGUUGGUCGUAGUUGAGCCCACAUUGGGCUCCAUGCUCAGUGUGGAGUAUGCUUUGGAUUCUUGCUCCCUCCCUUCAGCCUCUCCUCACACUCUCUCCAUCUCUCAAAUAAAUAAAUAAGAUCUUCAAAAAAAAAAAAAAAAGAGAGAGAGAGAGAGGGAACAUAACAAGAAUUAAUAAAAAAUGGCUGGCAAAACACAACACCAUAGAACUCAUAGACGAUAACAUAGAAAAAAGUCUAGAAGACUUUGGGUAUAAUGACAUCUUUCUAGACACAGAACCAAAGACACAACCCAUGCAAUAAAUAACUGAUAAGCCGGACUUCAUUAAAAUUAAAAACUUCUGCUCUUCAAAAGACAGUAUCAAGAGAAUGAGAAGACAAGCCACAGAUUGGCACAAAAUAUUUGCAAAAGACAUAUAUGAUAAAGGACAGUUAUCCAAAAUAUACAGAGAACUCUUAAAACUCAAUAAUAAGAAAACACACAACCUGAUUAAAAAUGGGCCAAAGACUUUAACAGAUGCCCCAUACAGAUGGCAAAUAAGCAUAUAAAAAGAUCUUCCAUAUCAUAUGCCAUCAGAGAAAUGCAAAUUAAAACAAUGAGAUAACGGGCGCCUGGGUGGCUCAGUUGGUUAAGCGACUGCCUUCAGCUCAGGUCAUGAUCCCAGGGUCCUGGGAUUGAGUCCCGCCAUCGGGCUCCCUGCUCUGCAGGGAGCCUGCUUCUCCCUCUCCCACUCCCCCUGCUUGUGUUCCCUCUCUCGCUGUGUCUCUCUCUGUCAAAUAAAUAAAUAAAAUCUUUAAAAAAAAAAAAAACAAUGAGAUACCAUUACACACCUAAUAAAAUGCCCCAAAUCCCAAAAACUGACAACACCAAAUGUAGGAUGUGGAACAGGAAUUCUCAGACAUUUGCUAGUGGGAAUGCAAAAUGGUACAGCCACUUCGGAAGAUGGUUUGGCACUUUCUUAUGAAACUAAAUAUAUUCUUACCAUGUGAUCCAGAAACUGUGAUCCUUGUUAUUCACCCAAAGGAGUUAAAAACUUAUAUACACACAUGUAUGUUUAAAGCAGCUUUAUUCAUAACUGCCAAAACCUGGAAGUAACUGAGAUGUCCUCCAGUAGAUGAGUAGAUAAACACAACAUGAUACAUCUAGAUAAUGGAAUAUUAUUCAACAGUAAAAAGAAAUGAGCUUUCAAGCCAUGAAGAGACAUAAAGGAAACUCAGGUGCAUAUUGUUAAGUGAAAGAAGCCAAUCUGAAAAGGCCAUAUAGUAUAACAUUCCAACUAUAGGAUAUUCUAGAAAAGGCUAAACUAUGGACACAAAAAAAAAUCAGUGGUUGUCAGGAGUGAGGGUGGGGGUGAAGAAGUGAUGAAUAGACAGAGCACAGAGGACUUUUAGGACUAAAAAUAAUCUGCAUGCUAUUAAAAUGAUGGAUAUAUAUCAUUAUACCUUCUUCCAAACCCAUACAGUGUACAACUCUGAGAGUGAACCCUAAGGUAACUAUGUACUUUGGGUGAUGAUGUGUCAAUAUCGCUUCAUCCUUGGUUAAAAAAAAAAUUCUGGUAAGUUAUGUUGGUAAUGGGGGAAGGUACGCAUUUAUGGGGGCAGAGAGUAUAUGAGAAAUCUCCAUACCUUGUCUUCAAUUUGUUGUAAACCUAAAAGUGCUCUAAAAAAAUAAA